AGCUAAUCAAUAUCACUUAUAUUCUACAUGCUUGAGCAGUAGUUAGUCCAUCAGUCCAAUAGAUGUCGCUGUUGCACUGUGGUAGUGGGGGGAACAGGAAGUUCCGGUAGACGCACACCAUUCUUUAGAAUAAACAAAACGCCUGAGCUGUGCUGUCCUUUUCUCUUUAUCGCUACAGAUUAAGUCUGAGGCCGGUAACAUCAACAGUGAGGACAAACCCAGCCUGCCUCUCUCCUUCCACACUGAGUCCAAACCUACAGUCACUGGGUCCUGAUUGUGACAGUGGAGCCCAGUUUGCACUGCAGGAUCCAGAGAUGGCAUCAGUGAAGCUGGAAGACUGCAGUCAAACACUGAAGCUGAAUGUCAUCAUUAAAGAUGAAGAAGAGGAGGAGAAGAUUGGUAAGAGCAGGUUCUAUCUAUAAAUUAGACCUUAAGUUAUGACCCAGUCUAAUACUAUGUUGACUUCUGUAAUUCUGACAUCAAACAUCACUGAACAACUGGAUUAUCUGGAGUGAUCAGAGAGCAGACUGAAGAAGUGAAGUAGACAAACUGCCAGUGUUUUAAAGUUCUAUGAAAUGAGUCUGUGUAGUUACUAAUCCUUGUUAUAGUGAGUGGAGGAUGAUAUGAAAUGAGUCUGUGUAGUUACUAACCCUUGUGAUAGUGAGUGGAGGAUGAUAUGAAAUGAGUCUGUAGUUACUAACCCUUGUGAUAGUGAGUGGAGGAUGAUAUGAAAUGAGUCUGUGUAGUUACUAACUCUUGU
rnacentral:lncRNA from 13 species